UGUUUAAAUAUGACGUCGUAUACAUUUUCAUUGUCAGCGGACGAUUUUGUUCAUGUUUUAACAUAAAUUAAAGACAAUGGAAAAGGGUUCAGCUCUUAUCUCUUACCUGACACACGCAUUCCAGAUAGAAUUACCGACUUCGGAGACAUCGUCUAUCGCUUUUUCGGGAAUAUUAAAUGUCUGUACAUACAGAAAAGAUGAUAAUUUAUAAUUUCAUAUUUAUAUAUUAUUGUGAAUACUUAGUAAUUAUUAAAACUGUAUAACACCAUAAAUAUAUUACAGAAAUAAGAGAGUUGUCUUAAAUAGUCGUGUUCACGGUCUAGUCAAAGAAAAUAUCUAUCGAACCUACUACUAGGAUAACUACUAGGAUAACAAGUGCAAAAACUGUAUGCAUUAUAAAUUUAACAAAUUAUGCAUACAAGUUCUGUAUUUUUAACAUAUAUAGGCACCAAACACACAAACAAAAUACAAA